rnacentral:rRNA from 1 species
AUUGAACGCUGGCGGCAGGCCUAACACAUGCAAGUCGAAUGGUAACAGGAAACAGCUUGCUGUUUCGCUGACGAGUGGCGGACGGGUGAGUAAUGUCUGGGAAACUGCCUGAUGGAGGGGGAUAACUACUGGAAACGGUAGCUAAUACCGCAUAACGUCGCAAGACCAAAGAGGGGGACCUUCGGGCCUCUUGCCAUCAGAUGUGCCCAGAUGGGAUUAGCUAGUAGGUGGGGUAACGUCUCACCUAGGCGACGAUCCCUAGCUGGUCUGAGAGGAUGACAGGCCACACGGGAACGGGGACACGGUCCAGACUCCUACGGGAGGCAGCAGUGGGGAAUAUGGCACAAUGGGCGCAAGCCUGAUGCAGCCAUGCCGCGUGUAUGAAGAAGGCCUUCGGGUUGUAAAGUACUUUCAGCGGGGAGGAAGGGAGUAAAGUUAAUACCUUGCCUCAUUGACGUUACCCGCAGAAGAAGCACCGGCUAACUCCGUG